ensembl:lncRNA
CUCAGCUGUUGCAGCUUCUCCUGGAAGGAGUAGGCCUGCCAGUGGCACAGAGGGAUGUUGAGAGACAUGCAGGCUUAGCAGAGGUGCUUAGUGGGAAGGCUCAAGCCAUGCUUACCUCCUGCCGGCUCUGUUCCUGGGCCUUCUGUUGCUUCUUCAGUUCCCUGUGGAGCUGCUGCCUCUCUUCCUCAUAAUGACAAAGGAGUGGAAGAUUGUGGCCUAUCUUUCUCUGGACUUGGGCCAGCUCUGCCUUCAGGGAUGCCACUUCCUCCACCUGCAUGAAAAAGGCUGGCAGUGGGAGUGGCCAGACAGAGGAAGCUGGAGCUGCACUCAGGGCCAGCGCUGUGGGCUCUGUCCCUCUGCAGCUCAGGCAGGGGGAGCUGCAUGGCAGCUGGCUGCAUCGUGUGGCUGCCCUGUUUCUGCCGUCACCUGUUGCAGCAGCUCUGCUAUGUGCUUUCUGCUGGAGGCUGCUUUCUGCUGCAGGUCGUGGAUUGUCUGUCUGUGUCUACUGAGCUGCUCCAUGCUGCCGAGGCACGGAGCGGAGCUGUGCUUGGUGCCAUGCCCUGGGAUGGCUGCGUCCCGGCAGGGCUCGCGGAGCUUCACAGUGCUGCCAGAGGAGGGAUCGACUGCAUCGACAGCAGCUGCUGCUCCGUGCUUCUGUCCAAAAAGGUAAAAGUAACAGGAACAAGUUGUUGGAAAUUAAAUUUCAAUUUCUCCACGCCCUUCCCUGUCUACGUGGCUUCCCGGCAUGGAUCAAUAGUGUUUAGACAGCCAGGGAGAUUUUUUUUCCCCUUUUAAAGCAUCAGAUCAAUAGUGGGAAAAAACACAGCACUGAUCCCUCUGCUGCAUGAGCUGUGGUACCCACACAGAUUGGGCCCGGCAGCCCGGCAGCGCAGUGCCCACAGCACAGGGGGUCUGGCAGAGCCACUGGGAGAAAUGGGGUCUGAGGGGGCUGAGUGCAGCCCUAACACUGCUCAGAGGCUCAGGAGUAGAUGUGGUGCCCGUGGGUGUGGGAAGGCCUGGAGGAGCUGACCUGGUACAGAUGAGCUCCCGACCCCCACCUGCCAUGCCCUCACCACACUCUGCAGUUCCAUGGGUGGUGUUUCAGCUGGGAAUUGGCACUGCUGUGCAGAACUGCUAUGCUGAAUUUAGCCUUACUUUCUGCCAGAGCAAGGGAACAGCAUUUCCCAGCAGCACCGCACUGUGCUGAGCCAUGCCAAGUCGUGCCAGGCUGCCUGCCCUCGCCUGCUGCUGGGAGAAUGCGGGGCUGAAGCAGUUGCUCCGCUGGGUGAGCCAGCACCGCAUGCCGAGCAGCACUGGGGUUGGAGCCGUCUCACUUUAAUUACUGCCGCAAUGUUAUUCUUUUCAGUGCCACGUUAAUUGAAAUUAAACAGCUGCCACAUUCUGGCUGGGACAAAAGUGAAUCCAUU